rnacentral:rRNA from 1 species
AGCUUCGCUAGGAGGCGUCGAGCGGCGGCGUGAGUAAUGCAUGGGAAUCUGCCCGAUAGUGGGGGAGAACCUGGGGAAACUCAGGCUAAUACCGCAUACGCCCUAGGGGGGGAGAGUUGGGGAUCUUCGGACCUGACGCUAUUAGAUGAGCCCGCGUUAGAUUAGCUUGUUGGUGGGGUAAUGGCCUACAAGGCAACGAUCUAUAGCUGGUCUGAGAGGACGAUCAGCCAACUGGGACUGAGACACGGCCAGACUCCUAGGGGAGGCAGCAGUGGGGAAUAUUGCACAAUGGGCGCAAGCCUGAUGCAGCAGGUACCGCGUGUGUGAAGAAGGCCUGAGGGGUUGUAAAGCACUUCAAUUGUGAGGGAAAAGCUUUUGGUUAAUAACCUUGAGUCUUGACGUUUAGCAAUACAAGAAGGCACCGGCUAACUCCGUGCCAGCAGCCGCGGUAAUACGGAGGGUGCAAGCGUUAAUCGGGAAUUACUGGGCGUAAAGCGUACGUAGGCGGUUUACUAAGUCAGAUGUGAAAGCCCCGGGCUUAACCUGGGAACUGCAUUUGAUACUGGUAGGCUAGAGUAUGGUAGAGGGGGGUAGAAUUCAUAGUGUAGCGGUGCAAUGCGUAGAUAUUAUGAGGAAUACCAGUGGCGAAGGCGGCCCCCUGGACCAAUACUGACUGAGGUACGAAAGCGUGGGUAGCGAACAGGAGUUAGAUACCCGUGGUAGUCCACGCCCGUAAACGAUGUCAACUAGCCGUUGGGACCUUGAGGUCUCAGUGGUGCAGCUAACGCUAAGUUGACCGCCUGGGGAGUACGGCCGCAAGGCUAAAACUCAAAUGAAUUGAGACGC